GUAGGUGGCAAGCGUUGUCCGGAAUUAUUGGGCGUAAAGCGCGCGCAGGCGGUUCUUUAAGUCUGAUGUGAAAGCCCACGGCUCAACCGUGGAGGGUCAUUGGAAACUGGAGAACUUGAGUACAGAAGAGGAAAGCGGAAUUCCACGUGUAGCGGUGAAAUGCGUAGAGAUGUGGAGGAACACCAGUGCCGAAGGCGGCUUUCUGGUCUGUAACUGACGCUGAGGCGCGAAAGCGUGGGGGAGCAAACAGGAUUAGAUACCCUGGUAGUCCACGCCGUAAACGAUGAGUGCUAAGUGUUAGGGGGUUUCCGCCCCUUAGUGCUGCAGCUAACGCAUUAAGCACUCCGCCUGGGAGUACGGCCGCAAGGCUG
rnacentral:rRNA from 1 species